rnacentral:rRNA from 1 species
AUUGAACGCUGGCGGCAUGCCUUACACAUGCAAGUCGAACGGUAACAGGUCUUCGGAUGCUGACGAGUGGCGAACGGGUGAGUAAUGCAUCGGAACGUGCCUAGUAGUGGGGGAUAACUACUCGAAAGAGUGGCUAAUACCGCAUGAGAUCUACGGAUGAAAGCAGGGGAUCGCAAGACCUUGUGCUACUAGAGCGGCCGAUGGCAGAUUAGGUAGUUGGUGGGAUAAAAGCUUACCAAGCCGACGAUCUGUAGCUGGUCUGAGAGGACGAUCAGCCACACUGGGACUGAGACACGGCCCAGACUCCUACGGGAGGCAGCAGUGGGGAAUUUUGGACAAUGGGCGAAAGCCUGAUCCAGCAAUGCCGCGUGCAGGAUGAAGGCCUUCGGGUUGUAAACUGCUUUUGUACGGAACGAAAAGCCCCGGGUUAAUACCCUGGGGUCAUGACGGUACCGUAAGAAAAAGCACCGGCUAACUACGUGCCAGCCGCCGCGGUAA